rnacentral:rRNA from 1 species
AUGGCCAAGCAUGCUAUAGACUACAACGUGUUUGGGGGGCCUCAAAAAUUUGGAAAGUGGAUGGACGUGCACUCAGCUCCAUCUUGCCCUUCUGAGGCGAGGGCACCAGUUGAGCAUCUAAUUGGGCAGUUUGCUUCUGGAAUGACCGGAUUGCUCGGGAAGUUGGUUGAGGGAUGGACGUCCCUCAGUGCCUCUGACAGCAACGCGGUUGCGAGGCAGUUCACUUCAUUUGUCCCAGAACGUACACAUCGGCCAACCGGUUGCCGUGGCCGGUAUGACUACAACAAUUCUCAAGAGCCCGGCGACACACAAGAUGAUGUAGAUGGAGACGCUGGCCUCAGCAAGGAUGACGACGACGACAUGGACAAUGUGCAUCAGGACACGGAUGACGAUGAACAAGCUGAAGUUCGCAGAGGCGGCAAUAGGGGCAAGGAUGCAACAGAUGCCCCCCCACCGGAGAAAGUGAAAGAACAGACGGCUCCGAGAGGCCAGGGGGUGUUGCCAUCAAGGAGGGGGAGGGCUCCAGAUGAUGUUGGGCAGGGUUCUCAUGGCAAGAAGUCUAAGACCGACCCCGUAGCUGCCAGGAGGAACGAGCCGACCGCUGGUGGACGAGCAAUUAUGAAGAAACAGGCGCCAACGCCAACCCGUGCAUCUGCUCGCUUGAACAAAGGUGCCCCCAUUGCUGGUGACACCCCUUCCACCAGGUCGUCUCCUCGUACGACGACGACCAACACCGGGGAUCCUGUUGUGUUGCCAGACCUGAGGAAGCCAGUCAAGAAGGUGAAGAAGACUACUACGCGUGGGGCCAAGCAUAGCAUCAAUGAUCCACUUGAAUGA